ACCACUGGUCGGUUUGCGGGCAGUCCGCUUUGUAGGAGCCGUGGUACAGAGACCUCCUUACUUACCCCCCUUCUCCUUCGGCUGGAGCUCGGCGAGCGAGAGGCGGCGCUGGCGUUGGAGAGCGACGGCGGCGCGGCGGCGCCUGCGAACACCAGGGAAGCAGCCUCUAACGUUUGAGGGUCAAUCCAGAUGGAGAGAAGAUAGAGGAGAAAGAGCCGAAUGUGACCCAACCAUAGGUCAUCUCUUGACUGGCAAACUAACUUUUCCAUCAGGAUCCUGAGGGAUAGAGAGGGAAAGAGAGGAGCAGAAGUGCAACCAUUGUCUCUGAAGAAGAAAAGUUUUGGCUUGCCUGUCUGUUGGUCUGUGGUUGGGAAACACUGUUCUU
rnacentral:lncRNA from 1 species